UCCGGUCUUGGUCUCAGGGUCCUGGGAUUGAGCCCCACAUCCGGCUCUCUGCUCGGCGGGGAGCCUGCUUUCCCGAUUCGACUAUAAACUCUAGCAACUGUUUGGGUUCAAAUCUAAGAGGCCGCUAAUGACAGACUAGUCAACAGCCCAGAGACCAAAGGUCAGAGUCUUAAUUGGACUUGGUGGAGUCUGCAGCUGACAAGCAAAGGACAGGGGAUAGGUGUGGUGUCUGUCACAGGAAGAAAUACAACUGAAGGCACAUCAAGAAAACAUUCAUGAAUGAGAGCGAUUUUUAGUUGAGUCGAGAUGGAGGAACCGGACUUCGCCACAGAGCGUAGCAUAAUGAGAGACCUGAAGCAUGAGUAGGCAUUGGCCAAAUGAGGAGGAGGAAAGAAUAUGUCCGACAGAAGGAAGGACCUGUGGAAAGACGUGGCAGAAGGGUCACAGAAGAUCACAAGCUACUGUGAUCAAGGGACUGAAAGAAAACCCAUAGCGCUGGAGUACAGAGAGCAGAGGAAGACCGAGGAGACAAGGUUGAGAAGGUAAACAGGAUGGUUUCUAUCUGUAGUGGAGAGAAAUGAAAAGGCGUUAGAGGGACUUAAUCUUGUACAUGCACAUAUGACUCAAUCUAAUUUGUGUGAUGAAACGCUCACUCGUGCAUGUUAAGUGGGUCGAAGAGGGCUAGAGUAGAAACACUGAGACCAGAUGGACCACAGGUCAGAAAUGAUGGUCCCAUGGAAAAUAAGGCAAUGGUAGAGAAGAAAGAGUGACAAAUUCUGAGAUUCUAGGAGUUAAAAUGGACGGGGUGUGGGGAGAAAUUAAAGGUGGGGAAGAGAGAAUGAGGGAGAAAGAUGUAUCAACAAUGAUGCCUAAAUUUACUAGCAGAACAGAUGGUGGUCAUAUUCACUGAUUUCAGUAUAUUGGAAGAGGGGAU